ACCAAGUUUUCAAAAUGACACAUUUUCGUGAAAGCUGCUGAAAACGAUCAAGAAAAGAACGGCGAAUUCAUUUCUGCCCGGGUUGGGGAGUUGCUGCCAAUCCAAAUCUGAGCAGCCGAAGGUCUCACGUGGAAGAAUGUUGCAUGUUAUCGUCAAAGAUCACGUGACACCAGCGGGAGGGCUGCAAGAUGGCGGCAUGCGAUGUGACGUUGAAGAUGCCGGCGCUGGUGAUGUAACACGUUAUGUAAGCAGGCCGCCAGCCCCCAAAAAGGAAGACGUCCCCAGACGAUUUGCCCGCAUCAAACAUUGGCUUUACAAAAGAAAAGCAUGACGCUUGACAGGGUAUGCAUGUCCAAAUAUUUUGGAAGGUAGAUGACACUUUUACAAAAUCAAAUUAUUUUAACAGUAUAUUUCACAUCCUGUAUGUGUGCCAUUUUUUUCUCUCUAUCCACAGGUAGGUCG